rnacentral:rRNA from 1 species
UACGAAGGGGGCUAGCGUUGCUCGGAAUUACUGGGCGUAAAGGGCGCGUAGGCGGCACUGUUAGUCAGGGCGUCGAAAUUCCUUGGGGCUCAACCCUGGGGACUGCGCUUGAUACGGCAGAGCUUGAGGAUGGAAGAAGGGUCGCGGAAUUCCUGGUGUAGCGGUGAAAUGCGCAGAUAUCAGGAGGAACACCGGUGGCGAAGGCGGCCCGCUGGGGCAGGAAGGCCCCCUCACGGGGGCCGGCUGACGCUGAGGCGCGACAGCGUGGGGA